GACGAAGGGGGCUAGCGUUGUUCGGAAUUACUGGGCGUAAAGCGCGUGUAGGCGGUUGUUCAAGUCAGGUGUGAAAGCCUUGAGCUCAACUCAAGAAAUGCACUUGAUACUGGAUGACUAGCGGACCGGAGAGGAUAGUGGAAUUCCCAGUGUAGUGGUGAAAUACGUAGAGAUUGGGAAGAACACCAGUGGCGAAGGCGGCUAUCUGGACGGUUUCUGACGCUAAGACGCGAAAGCGUGGGGAGCAAACAGG
rnacentral:rRNA from 1 species